GACGAACGCUGGCGGCGUGCUUAACACAUGCAAGUCGAACGCUGAAGCUCAGCUUUUGUUGGGUGGAUGAGUGGCGGACGGGUGAGUAACACGUGAGUAACCUGCCCCCUUCUUUGGGAUAACGCCCGGAAACGGGUGCUAAUACUGGAUAUUCACUGGUCUUCGCAUGGGGGUUGGUGGAAAGGGUUUUUCUGGUGGGGGAUGGGCUCGCGGCCUAUCAGCUUGUUGGUGGGGUGAUGGCCUACCAAGGCUUUGACGGGUAGCCGGCCUGAGAGGGUGACCGGUCACAUUGGGACUGAGAUACGGCCCAGACUCCUACGGGAGGCAGCAGUGGGGAAUAUUGCACAAUGGGCGCAAGCCUGAUGCAGCGACGCCGCGUGAGGGACGGAGGCCUUCGGGUUGUGAACCUCUUUCGCUCAUGGUCAAGCCGCAACAAUGGUUGUGGUGAGGGUAGUGGGUAAAGAAGCGCCGGCUAACUACGUG
rnacentral:rRNA from 1 species